GCUCGUAGUUGGACUUUGGGUUAGAGCGCACCGGUCCUCGGCAGCUUCGCUGUCGGGAUAAAGGCCGAGCGUUUCUUUCUCUAUUCUCGGAACGCCAACGGCUGUUUGUAGCCUUCGGGUUGCAGGUAGUCGGUUUCGUAGGGUUUACUUUGAAUAAAUUAGGGUGUUCAAAGCAGGCGCAACUCGCCUUGAAUACAUUAGCAUGGGAUAAUAAAAGAUGACCUUUGGUCUAUACUUUAUUGGUUUCUAGGGCCAGGGUAAUGAUUAAUAGGGACAGUUGGGGUCGCUUGUAUUCAGUGGUCAGAGGUGAAAUUCUAAGACCCACUGAGGACAAACAAAUGCGAAGGCAUUCGACAAGGAUGUUUUCAUUAAUCAAGAACGAAAGUUGUGGGAUCGAAGAUGAUUAGAUACCGUCGUAGUCACAACCGUAAACUAUGCCGACUCAGGAUCUGGGGAUGUUACAUGGAUGACUCUCCAGGCACUGUGUGCGAAAGCAUAAGUAUUCGGACUCCGGGGGGAGUAUGGUCGCAAGGCUGAAACUUAAAGGAAUUGACGGAAGGGCACCACCAGGAGUGGAACCUGCGGCUUAAUUUGACUCAACACGGGGAAACUUACCCAGUCCGGACACAACGAGGAUUGACAGAUUGAUAGCUCUUUCUUGAUUUUGUGGAAGCCGGUGCAUGGCCGUUUUUAGUUGGUGGAGUGAUUUGUCUGGUUUAGUCCGAUAACGAACGAGACCUUAUUCUAUUAAAUAGUACUGUUAACAAGGGAGUUUCCGGGGCGUUCGGGCUUGCUCGGGCGUCUCGGGGGUUCCCGUCAAAUUGUUGGCUGAUUUUACUUCUUAGCGAGACUCUUGAUGAUUUAAAUCAAUGGAAGAUUAAGGCAAAAACAGGUCUGUGAUGCCGCUCGAUGUCUGGGGCUGCACGCGCGUUACACUGACAUGUUCAACAAGUAUUUCGAUUUUACCUUGCCCGAAGGGGUUUAGGCAAUCUCUAAAGCAUGUCGUGAUGGGGAUUGUGCUUUGAAACUAUCGCACAUGAACGAGGAAUUCCUAGUAGGGGUAGGUCAUCAACCUGCCCCGAUUACGUCCCUGCCCUUUGUACACACCGCCCGUCGCUUCUACCGAUCGAAUUGCUCGAUGAGGAUUCGGGACGAGGGGGUUUUCUGUCGGCUGAAAGGUUGGCGGUGCCUCUUCGGAACCUAUUCGAAUCUCGUAAUUAGAGAGAG
rnacentral:rRNA from 1 species